rnacentral:rRNA from 1 species
AUACGUAGGGGGCAAGCGUUGUCCGGAAUUACUGGGCGUAAAGGGAGCGCAGGCGGUCUGUUAAGUGAGAUGUGAAAUACCCGGGCUUAACCUGGGGGGUGCAUCCCAAACUGGCAGACUUGAGUGUGGGAGAGGAAAGUGGAAUUCCUAGUGUAGCGGUGAAAUGCGUAGAUAUUAGGAGGAACACCAGUGGCGAAGGCGGCUUUCUGGACCACAACUGACGCUGAGGCUCGAAAGCGUGGGGAGCAAACAGGAUUAGAUACCCUGGUAGUCCACGCUGUAAACGAUGAAUACUAGGUGUAGGGGGUAUCAACUCCCUCUGUGCCGCAGCAAACGCAAUAAGUAUUCCGCCUGGGGAGUACGGUCGCAAGACUGAA